UUAAGCGACUAAGCGUACACGGUGGAUGCCCUGGCAGUCAGAGGCGAUGAAGGACGUGCUAAUCUGCGAUAAGCGUCGGUAAGGUGAUAUGAACCGUUAUAACCGGCGAUUUCCGAAUGGGGAAACCCAGUGUGAUUCGUCACACUAUCAUUAACUGAAUCCAUAGGUUAAUGAGGCGAACCGGGGGAACUGAAACAUCUAAGUACCCCGAGGAAAAGAAAUCAACCGAGAUUCCCCCAGUAGCGGCGAGCGAACGGGGAGCAGCCCAGAGCCUGAAUCAGUGUGUGUGUUAGUGGAAGCGUCUGGAAAGGCGCGCGAUACAGGGUGACAGCCCCGUACACAAAAAUGCACAUGCUGUGAGCUCGAUGAGUAGGGCGGGACACGUGGUAUCCUGUCUGAAUAUGGGGGGACCAUCCUCCAAGGCUAAAUACUCCUGACUGACCGAUAGUGAACCAGUACCGUGAGGGAAAGGCGAAAAGAACCCCGGCGAGGGGAGUGAAAAAGAACCUGAAACCGUGUACGUACAAGCAGUGGGAGCCUCUUUAUGGGGUGACUGCGUACCUUUUGUAUAAUGGGUCAGCGACUUAUAUUCUGUAGCAAGGUUAACCGAAUAGGGGAGCCGAAGGGAAACCGAGUCUUAACUGGGCGUUAAGUUGCAGGGUAUAGACCCGAAACCCGGUGAUCUAGCCAUGGGCAGGUUGAAGGUUGGGUAACACUAACUGGAGGACCGAACCGACUAAUGUUGAAAAAUUAGCGGAUGACUUGUGGCUGGGGGUGAAAGGCCAAUCAAACCGGGAGAUAGCUGGUUCUCCCCGAAAGCUAUUUAGGUAGCGCCUCGUGAAUUCAUCUCCGGGGGUAGAGCACUGUUUCGGCAAGGGGGUCAUCCCGACUUACCAACCCGAUGCAAACUGCGAAUACCGGAGAAUGUUAUCACGGGAGACACACGGCGGGUGCUAACGUCCGUCGUGAAGAGGGAAACAACCCAGACCGCCAGCUAAGGUCCCAAAGUCAUGGUUAAGUGGGAAACGAUGUGGGAAGGCCCAGACAGCCAGGAUGUUGGCUUAGAAGCAGCCAUCAUUUAAAGAAAGCGUAAUAGCUCACUGGUCGAGUCGGCCUGCGCGGAAGAUGUAACGGGGCUAAACCAUGCACCGAAGCUGCGGCAGCGACGCUUAUGCGUUGUUGGGUAGGGGAGCGUUCUGUAAGCCUGCGAAGGUGUACUGUGAGGUAUGCUGGAGGUAUCAGAAGUGCGAAUGCUGACAUAAGUAACGAUAAAGCGGGUGAAAAGCCCGCUCGCCGGAAGACCAAGGGUUCCUGUCCAACGUUAAUCGGGGCAGGGUGAGUCGACCCCUAAGGCGAGGCCGAAAGGCGUAGUCGAUGGGAAACAGGUUAAUAUUCCUGUACUUGGUGUUACUGCGAAGGGGGGACGGAGAAGGCUAUGUUGGCCGGGCGACGGUUGUCCCGGUUUAAGCGUGUAGGCUGGUUUUCCAGGCAAAUCCGGAAAAUCAAGGCUGAGGCGUGAUGACGAGGCACUACGGUGCUGAAGCAACAAAUGCCCUGCUUCCAGGAAAAGCCUCUAAGCAUCAGGUAACAUCAAAUCGUACCCCAAACCGACACAGGUGGUCAGGUAGAGAAUACCAAGGCGCUUGAGAGAACUCGGGUGAAGGAACUAGGCAAAAUGGUGCCGUAACUUCGGGAGAAGGCACGCUGAUAUGUAGGUGAAGUCCCUUGCGGAUGGAGCUGAAAUCAGUCGAAGAUACCAGCUGGCUGCAACUGUUUAUUAAAAACACAGCACUGUGCAAACACGAAAGUGGACGUAUACGGUGUGACGCCUGCCCGGUGCCGGAAGGUUAAUUGAUGGGGUUAGCGGUAACGCGAAGCUCUUGAUCGAAGCCCCGGUAAACGGCGGCCGUAACUAUAACGGUCCUAAGGUAGCGAAAUUCCUUGUCGGGU
rnacentral:rRNA from 1 species